CAGAAUUUUCUAAUGAUUGGAGAAAGUGGAACAUUUGAAAAAGACUUAAAUUGUCAUGCCAUAAUAAUUUUAUUUUGUAAUUUGACGAAAUACAAGUGUAGUUAAAAAAAUAACUGGUAGAAGAAAAAAUAAUAAGCAAAUAUACUGUUACCUCCCGUCCACCUCACUUUUUCCUAUCCCACACUAAUUUGCCAUUUUCACAAUAUGGCAAUUAUGAGUGAAUGUUUGCUUUGACGUAUACCUGUCCCUGUCAUUAAAUUUGUAUAACAAUUAACAUUAGCUGGUCUCUCUUGUUUUGAUUCUCAUGAACACACUCACACACACAAACAUAGCUAAUUCAUUGGUAGUUUUUGCCAACGUCUGGCUUUUUCCAGAACCAGCAUCUUUGCCCUUUGUAGGGAAUAUCUUGUUCCAUGUUUUCCCUGGGGCCUGGAAAAUUCCUCAUAACGGGUUUUCUAGAUUUUUCCUAGGUUUCCACUGAGAAAUCCAUUUCCAAAUGUGGUUUGUCAGCCACAAAACAAUGGAAUAAUAAUCCUCUCUCUUUACCCCCCUUUGGGUUAUAACAGUUUAUAACACUCGAAACAAAGGAAAGAGAUAACACGCAUGAGCAAACAGAAACAACCAGACGAUUGCCAACGACAAUCGAAUGUGCUAGAGAGGGUCAAUGGAAAUUUCCUGGGUAUUCCAAUAUUGCCAGCUGCCACGAUAGAGUAUAAAUACCGCUGAGCAGCUGGCCACUGUAUCAGUUGUAUUUUUGAAAUUUUGCUGUAAACUUGUCUAGGAGACGGAAAGAAGUGGAAUAUUAUUUAGUUGUAAAAGUGUAAUACCAAAAGUGUAUUCUGUGUGAAAACAAGAGUGUGGUUUUUGCCAAAGUAAAAAUGGCUGUAUUGUUCCCCGUUAUUGUCAAGCGUUUUAUUGUAAAUCGCAUUGAGUCAUCAAAAGAAGCAGAAUAUUGUUGUUCGAGUAAAAUAGGCUGAUAAAGAAAUAGUUGAGAGCAGAAAUAUUGUGAAAUGCUGUUUGCAAAUUGGGAAAGAAAUUUGAAGUAAAAUUUUGCGGAAUCCAUUCGUGUUAAUGGCUAAACUGAUAGAGCUGCGAGGAUGAAACAUCUAGGCAAAGAGAGAAAGAGUUUUGGGAAUCUAGCAAGAAAUGGCUGUUGACUUCUCUGAGUAGGCUUGGAACACAGCGACCUUGUGGUUUUGAUGAUGAAUCGGUCUCUUCCUGAAGUUGUGUCGUGUGUCUUGGGUUUAUGACUAGCUAGCUUUUCCUUAGCGGAGCUUUGGUUGUCAAAACGUAAGCCCGAAAUUAUAUGUGGUUAUUAUAAUGGGCGGCGUCGUGUAAAUUUAUCAUUGUAAUAUAUGCUAAGUUUGCUCGGAAUAUCUCGUCCGUCCAAUUCUCGUCUCGUCUCGUCGCCGUGACAACGUAUUUUCGUAUUCAAUAGAAAGAAAUUAAUUCAGGCGUAGAUAAUUCAACCGAUUUAAUCAUCUCAUCUUUAAGAAAACUGCGAAUUAUUGAAACUGCGAUUUUGUGGUUACAUUAUAUACUGCUAUGCUAGAGUUGAGUGUACAUAUAUUAUAUAUAAUAGAGUACAUGAGGUGUAGACACGAUGUAUAUGUAUAUGAAGCGAAUCACAUCUACACAAUCUGAGAUCUGUCGCAAAUCAUAAAUGAUGAGAGUAAAAGUAUGGUAUUUGAAUAUGAAUUUCAUGAAGAAAGAAGAGAGAGAGUAUGAAUGUGUAAUGAAUGCGAAAUGUGUACGAGAAUAAAUUACACUGCGUUUAUGAAAUAUAUCCGAGCGAAAAAUAUUCUGAGAGAGAAUUAAAGGAAUAAUCAAUAUCUAUCUAUCAGGCAGGCAGAUAAUUAUCACAGAGAGAAACAAACACAUCACUCAGACUCUGAAUGAGCAUUGAAAACCUACUACCCCCACGACCAACUGAUCUGAAACUGCUAGAGCUAUCUGAGAGAUAUGCGUUUAGAAUAUUUAAAAAAUAUUUUUUGUCUAAAAAAAACUAAAAGAAAAUGUAGAUUGAUUGAUAUAUGAUAAUGCUUUAGUAAAAAACAACGUUAUUUAGAAAUAAAUAAACCCAUAAAAAAGAACUUCGUUCCCUUAUGCCAACCUAAGGGUUAAGUGUUUUAUAGAUUUAUCAUCUACACAUAAUAAUUUGUUAUUACUAAUUAAUAAAACACCAACGUGUCUAGAGUAUAUCUAACAUGUUCUUUUUUUUACAAAUUUAUUAUGAUUACAAUGUAAACCUUAAGUUGUCUUUAGUUUUAUUUCUUCAAACGUUUGUUCCUCCAGCUAUGUGACUAGAAUAUUUAUUAAGCAUUCUUCAGUAAAAAAAUUAUAAUACAUAUAAUUAAUAUCAACAUUAUAUGCCCCUCAUUUUCUUGUUUAAAAAUAUCUCUCCAGAAAAAAAAAACAAAACAAAAAUAUUUCAAAAAAGAAAAAAGAUUUACAAAAAAAGAUCAAAAGAAAAAAGAAGAAAUUCUAAUGAAAAAACCAAAUAUUUUUUGAAAUAAAUAUAUGAGAAUAUGAUUUUUCUAAAAAACCAACUCUAUCAAAAAUUGUUUUUCCUUUCAAAACACAAAAAAAAAAAUCAGCUUUGUGCUAUUACACCACCACCACCACUCCGUUCCCCUUGUGAUUGCUUCGAGUUUCAUACUCUCGAUCAUCAUCAAUAGAGGAGACGGCGGUAGGGUACAGCCAGCCAAAGCUUUUUCUUCCUUCCCCCCACAGCCAUUUCUUUACAGUAUUCCCAUCCAAAAUAGAGAGAACAACGUGAAAAGAGGAACGAAUUAAAACUACGUCGUUAUUGAUACGUAAUGUGUGACUACGUUAUAUUAACGUACGAACCUGCGUUCUUUACACGUAUUUCAAUACAAAGUGAGUAAUAGUUGUAGUAAAUAUUUUUUUAUUAUAUUUAUGCCUACGAAACAGCAGCUUAAGGAUUAUAGAAAUAGUAGAAUUUUAGAAGAUAAGUCAAAAUACAGUGUAGGUAGGGAAUUUCAUUUUAAAAUUUUAACAGAUUAUAUAAACAAAAACAAACAUUAUUUUAACAAUUUCAAACUUGAAACAGUUUAAGAAAUAUUAAAAAUGAAGCACAAUUGAAAUCAAAAUACAAAAGAAGAAUUUGAGAAUCGUAUUGGUUAUAUAAUAUCUCUGAAUGAUAUGAGUAAUCUGAAUAAUAAAAGAGUAAAAAAGUAAUACCCCCGCCGUAUCUCAACGCUCAGUCAACGAAAUAUAAAUUAAUAAUGAAAAUUAGAACAAUGAAUAUAAAUACUAUUUAUGGUUAUAAUUUAAAAAUCGUAGCUGCGAUAUCAAAUUAUAGUAAAAAUGAAAAACUGAAAAGUACGAAAAAUUAAUAACGAAGAAGGGUUUUUAAAAUAGGGUGCGUGUAAAGAGUAUAUGAAGUCGUCGAAUUAAAAUACAAAAAUUCAGACAAAAUUCGCAACUCAACCUAAAAUGGUAAUCUCACAAUGAGGAAUAUGAAAAUUUCGAAUACAAUUAUAAAAAUACAAAGAAAAACACAUAAAAUGAGAAGAGAACAUAUAAAGCGAUAAUUAUUUAAAACAAAAAUUGAUAAAAUUAGGUAUCAUAUAAAAUCAAAAAUUGCGUCGUACAUGAAUAAGAAAACUACUCCAUACAACAUUUAAGAAUCAUCGAAAUUAAAUUACAAAACGAGAAAAUAACAAAGUACGAUAAAUAUUUUUAAUAAAAAUUGACGAAAUUAAUUGGGUAUCAGAUAAAAUCAAAAAUUGCGUCGUUCAUGAUACAAGAAACCCCAUACUAUAUUUGAGAAUAAUCAGAGUUAGGUGGUCAACGAGAGAUAAUAUUCAAAAUGGUUUUUAUGAAAAUGCGUUCAAAUGCGUAAUUGAUAUAUAAAAAUGGUCUUAUUUAAUGAAAUGCGUACAAAAUAUAAUUUCGAAACAGCCACUUUAAAAACAAUUUCAAAUGAAAUCUGAAAUGAUUUAUAUAAAUGUCGCAGUAGCUAUUUUUUUUAGAAGUAGUUUCUAUAAACUAGAACGAAUUUCAAUAUUAGAAAAGUUACCUUUCGAUAAAGGAGUUUUAUCUAGACUUAUACAUACUAAUAUUGGUAUGGUUCACAGGAAUUACGAUUACUUGCAGAAACAAGAGACAAUAAUGUCUAAGAUUUAGGAAAUUUACAUGGCUACCUACAUUUUAUUACAAAGACUAUCAACAUCAAAGUAAAAAGAGUAAAAAAAUUAGAUAUUUUAGCUUUAGAUUAAACAUAAAUGUUAUCAUCCCGAAUAUGAAAAAUAUUCC